AUGAACGCUAGCGGCAGGCUUAACACAUGCAAGUCGAACGGCAGCACAGGUAGCAAUACUGGGUGGCGAGUGGCGCGCGGGUGCGUAACGCGUAUGCAACCUACCUCUAUCUGGGAGAUAGCCCGAAGAAAUUCGGAUUAAUACCCCAUAAUAUAUGUCUUUCGCAUGUUAGACAUAUUAAAGCUUUGGCGGAUAGAGAUGGGCAUGCGUGACAUUAGCUAGUUGGUAAGGUAACGGCUUACCAAGGCUACGAUGUCUAGGGGGUCUGAGAGGAUUAUCCCCCACACUGGUACUGAGACACGGACCAGACUCCUACGGGAGGCAGCAGUGAGGAAUAUUGGACAAUGGGCGAAAGCCUGAUCCAGCCAUGCCGCGUGCAGGAAGACGGCCCUAUGGGUUGUAAACUGCUUUUAUAUGGGAAUAAACCUCCGAACGUGUUCGGAGCUGAAGGUACCAUACGAAUAAGGAUCGGCUAACUCCGUG
rnacentral:rRNA from 1 species